UACGUAGGGUGCGAGCGUUGUCCGGAAUUACUGGGCGUAAAGAGCUCGUAGGCGGUCUGUCACGUCGGCUGUGAAAACCCGAGGCUCAACCUCGGGCCUGCAGUCGAUACGGGCAAACUAGAGUACUGCAGGGGAGACUGGAAUUCCUGGUGUAGCGGUGAAAUGCGCAGAUAUCAGGAGGAACACCGGUGGCGAAGGCGGGUCUCUGGGCCGAUACUGACGCUGAGGAGCGAAAGCGUGGGGAGCGAACAGG
rnacentral:rRNA from 1 species